CGCCGCUGUCGGCAGUACGCUCUUCCCGGCACACCCGUAUCAAGAGGCUCAAGGGAUGAGUUUUCCAUCAUAGGCAGCAGCUGGAUGUGCAGCUGGCCAGGCCACGCCUGGCUGUCGAUGGUUUUGGCUCUAGAGGUGCUGCUGUUGUGCUGUCCGCGGUCUGCCCUUGAUGUCGUGUGAUGGUGACAAGUUCAUCUCGGCAACAGUGGACUCUUCUACGCAUCCAUGGUAUAGGACCAAGUGUUGCUGCAUGGAUGCUAAUACCCUCGUUUUGUACGACGCUCAAAGGGGAACAAAGAGGGGAUGCUCCACCUCAAAGGACACUAAACACAAAAGGCCAACCCCUGAAAAGAAUCAUGUGUUCAUUAAAUGAAGAAGUCUACCGAUGAUAUCUGCCUGCCAAUGCCUAUCCACUAAGCGGGGCUGGCUCUGUUUCCUUCGGCGUGCUCGCCGGGAACAAGCAGGUAUUCAUACAGACUUGAUACAAACACAGAAAUCUCGAGAAAGCUCGAGAAGAUACAGGUGCACCAGAACACAAGGGAACCGCCGGCCUCGCCGGUGCUCGACGGGAGGGACGCGGUUGCCUCCGGUUACGCCUCUGGAUGUACUGUAGCAAGAGUAGGAGGGGAAAGCGGAGCCUGCCGAUGGAAGCAGCUUGACUGUCUUCGGAGAGAUGUGUUGUAGGACGAACCCAUCUUGCAAUGCUUGGCAACAUACUAGUUUUUGCAAAGAUUGUCUCACCAGGGGCAAGAUAUCAUGUGUUCUGAAGAUUCAAAAUCAUGCAUGCAUUUUUUAGAUGCCUGCUAGAUCUUUUUACGUCACGGGCUGUGCUUCCUGAGGUAUCAAAAAAUCCACAAGCUAUUGUCGAGGCAAGCAAACUUGAUUUGAGCACAAGUCGUCUGUUGAAGCAUGCCUGUCGGUCAAAUCACCUUCUGCUAUAUCAAUUCUGUCAGCACGAAGGUGAUGCAGCACAAGGGGAGAUGAAGAGGGGCUGCAGCUGCUGCAUGACUACUUCGAGCAGGAAGGGUGUGGUGAUGAUUCUGGUGUGGCGCCUUCGCCAUCUCUAGCAUCCAUUGCACUGCUGAUAUGUCCGGAGAGGACGGCCAGGUCUUCCUCGAAGAGGCGCUAAUUGCGAGAAAGACAAAAGGUGGCAGAAAAGUAUGCAGAAAUUUAGUAGAAGAUUGCACUGUCUGGAGCAGAAAAGAACGCACUACCGAGCAAGAUCCUUAUGCAACAUAUUUUGACGGAGAAAGACAGUUCCAAAAGGCAGCUGGAGAUUUCUAAUAAAAUGUUUCUAGCCUAGUAGAGGGCCCUGGCAGAUUCAAACUAUUACAGGAUUACGAAGGGGGCGAAGGCUAUCAAGCUAAAACUUACAGUGGAGUAUCUUAAGUCGGACUGGCUUACCAUUGGCUUCAAAUACUUCAUCCUUGACCUCCUCCCUCAGUGUUGUGACAUGGCGUCGAGUUCACGGUGCGAAGGCAUUGAAUUACUUCUUCGACUAUGUGGUUUUAGGAGCUAACUAGAACUGCAUGCAAUUUGGCAUACACUUGUAAAAAUGGAGAUUGGAAGGCAUCACUGAACACAAACACCACUUUUAGAAUUACUGUCAGGCUUCCACUUCUUCCGCUCUCGCUGCCGUGCGAUGGCGGCAACCAUGGUGACGGUGGCCUCUUCUUCGACUUCGUGGAUUGGGAGAAGACCAAAAUCAAGGAGUGCUCUUGUGGAUCUGCAAAGAAGCAGAAGACGAGAGUGUGGUUGCUCUUGCAAAUGGAUGCCCUCACCUUCAUUCCAUGGGGAUGUACUACUGCUAGAACAUCCCAGACUGGGCCAUGUGCUAGCUUGCAGCAAAUAGCCACUUCUGGAGCAAGGCCAUUAGCUGGGGCACAGAGAGUGGAAACAGGCAUAUCUGAGGACAAGGAUGGGCUCUUGAACCUGAACAUCAUCCAGUUCACCGCAGGUGGUGUGCGACUCUUUCCCAGUACUCCACGCGUGCCUUGAGAGGCAUUCAGUAAUCAUGAUCAGCUGCCUCAGCCUAACCGCUAUCCACUGCACAUGUGUCAGAGGGAGUAGCAAGUAAUAGUGAACCUUUGAACCAUUUAUAUGUUUUAUAUGCCAUGUUGUGAAUAAUUUACAAUAAGUUGUUGCUUAUGUUCUAUCUAUAUAGCUACUCAAGGAUAACAUAGGCCUGACCACAUUUCUUUUCCUCCUAUAACGAAAGUACUAAUCAAUGUUUCAAUGAGAAUUAUUUGUAGCUAGAUCAAUUGCUUUCUUAUGCCUUGCAACAUUUUUAGGUACUGCCUGUGCUAUUGCUUAUCGAAAGAUGGAUAUUGUACCCUUAAACCAUUGCAUACUUGUUGCUUGACUUGGAAAUUGUUUCUAGCUUUAUCAGUUCCUUGUUUUAAUAAGAAUUUGGAAUCAGACCGUUUUUAUUCCUUUAACUUUUGCUCUAUAGUACAUUUGGAUCACCUCAGGUGGUGGAAACACAAACCGCUUCCUUUUUUCCUUUGUGUUUUUGAAUUUUAGAGGAGAAGUGGACCUUGAGGUGGCCAGGAGGUAGUCAUGACCACUGGAUCUAGCAGGCCAGCAACGGUGGCCUUCUUCUUCGACGUUGUGGUUUUAGAUCGGAUUAGCUACCAGCUGCCUACCUGUACCUACUCGUGUACUUUGACAUGCUAUAAACACAUAGGCAGGCCUGUAAUUUGGAAGAUGAAGAAUUGGAAACACAUAGGGAAGAUAUAUAGUGUUGAUGGCUGGGACGGAGGUGGGAGGCGGAUGCCACCCUUUGUACCUACAAUUGCGACUCAGAAGUGCAAGAGGGGCAAGGAAGGUGCCACAACAUCCGAGUCGCUGCGUGAGCAUCCAAGGUGGAUGUAUUUGUAGUCCUCGUGCACGUCCGCAAUAGGAUGUAUCGCUAAUCGAGUUGUUGUUGCGUCUGUGCUUGUGUCAUGAACUAUAGGGAAUUUUCUUUUAUGAAUUGCUGUCACUGAUUAUGUAUCAGUAAUAUAGCGGAUGAUGUAUCACUUAUGCUGAAGUAAUAAAAUAUGCCCGGCUGGUUU